rnacentral:rRNA from 1 species
UACGUAGGGGGCAAGCGUUAUCCGGAUUUACUGGGUGUAAAGGGAGCGUAGACGGUUGUAUAAGUCUGGAGUGAAAGCCCGGGGCCCAACCCCGGGACUGCUUUGGAAACUGUGUAACUUGAGUACAGGAGGGGCAGGCGGAAUUCCUAGUGUAGCGGUGAAAUGCGUAGAUAUUAGGAGGAACACCAGUGGCGAAGGCGGCUUACUGGACUGUAACUGACGUUGAGGCUCGGAAAGCGUGGGGAGCAAACAGG